rnacentral:rRNA from 1 species
GACGAACCGUGCGAACGUUAUUCGGAAUCACUGGGCUUAAAGCGCGUGUAGGCGGGACGGCACGUCGGUCGCUGAAAUCCCCCGGCUCAACCGGGGAACGGGUGCCGAUACGACCGCCCUGGAGGGACGUAGGGGGACCUGGAACUUCCGGUGGAGCGGUGAAAUGCGUUGAGAUCGGAAGGAACGCCCGUGGCGAAAGCGAGGUCCUGGACGUUUUCUGACGCUGAGACGCGAAAGCCAGGGGAGCGAACGGG